rnacentral:rRNA from 1 species
UACAGAGGUGGCAAGCGUUGUUCGGAAUUACUGGGCGUAAAGGGCGCGUAGGCGGUUGCCUAAGUCGGACGUGAAAUCCCCAAGCUUAACUUGGGAACUGCGUCCGAUACUGGGUGACUUGAGUUCGGGAGAGGAAUGUGGAAUUCCAGGUGUAGCGGUGAAAUGCGUAGAUAUCUGGAGGAACACCGGUGGCGAAGGCGGCAUUCUGGACCGAAACUGACGCUGAGGCGCGAAAGCCAGGGGAGCAAACGGG